UUGGUCUCCGGACCACACCCCAGUGCGUACUGGUUUGUAUGUCAAUAAACUGGCCUCAGGCUAUGAGUCUGUGAACUAAAAUGACUGCGUGGGGUCCCACCGGACCGGAGGACCGUGGACCGCUUCCACACCGAUCCCAGGCGCCAGGUAAGAGACCCUUGUCUCUAUUUGGGCUUCGGUGGGGAGCUGCCCAUAGGCUCUGGGUUCAGGUGAGGGCGCGCUGUGAUCCGAACCUUUUGAGGUAAGACUCAUUUGCCUGACGCCUGUUCGUUUUGUGUGUGUCUGUUCUGUAACUUGUCUGUUUAAAUUCUUGCAUCAUGCUGCGCUCUCUUAGGCUAUAAGCUAGGGGGGAGGGCGUAGGGAUUGUCUGUUUUGUGGUGUGUACACAAGGUCUUAGACCCAACGGUUUCUUUGGAACAGCCUCGGUGAAAUUACUGGGACAUCCGUCUGGCAGUUAAACACUUUUAGAGUGCCAGCCCAGAAUAAAAACAAGUUUCGGAUGGCAGGAGAUUAUUCAGGCAGAAACAGAGGCUGAAUAGGCUGGGUGAUCUCUCUGGGACAUAAAGGAAACCACCACUGACUCAAGAACUAAGUGGCCCAAGGACUAGAGGUCUUUUUAUAUACAGCAGUCCUGCCACUCGCGGAAACCAGAGACUGGGUUUGCAUAAGGGUCCAUCAGCAAAGAACUGCCCUCGCCCCAUGCUGUGGGACUCUUGUCCGCUGACCAAUCCAUUAAGCCUUCGGACCUUGCUAAGAAAACAGCUUCUCCACCUGAGGCCAUAAUAAAGCCUCCAACCAAGCAAGGUGAUUGUGCUGGUAACCCCUCCCUUGCAGCCUCAUUGCCGGACAGCUAAGUGAACUGAGACUACGAAAUCUUGAAGAAUAGCUUGCGGAAGCUAGCCAAAACUACCUAAAGAUGAAACUUUUAAUAUUUUUCAGCCUCUCCUCCUCAACGAACUUGGGGUGGGGAGGGAAAAAAAAAGUAAUUUUUUGUGUUGUUUUUGUUUUUUUUAAAUCUUGGCCAAUCAGUAGCCUUCGGUUUGGCCUGUGUCGUAUUGCAGUGUAUUCUGGCUCUAUAUGGUUGCCCAUUGUUGUAGUCCCCGCUCCCCAGCUACUCCCCCUUGUAUCUUCUCCAAUUCCCAUACAAAUCUGUUUGGCCAUAGCCUCAGAAAGAUUCAAGUCUCGGAACAACGAAUGUGGUAUAGCACAUCCUACCGAUGGAAUUGUUGUUUACAGUGGUGAAUUGUGCUAAAUGCUACUAUGAGAACCACCACUUUCUCAUUUCCCUCUCUGCUUUCCAAAUAACUACCUAGUACCCUGAUUAUUUUCAGAGAGCGGCCAUUCAACUGGCCCAGCUUGUGCAGUGGGAAAGUUUUUAUCAAGGAAAAAGAGGUUUGGUGGAAGGAGCUUUGCAUGGCCUAACUAAAGUAGCCGCUAUUUGGACAAUAAAUAAAACAUCUGUUGUAUGUACCUUCCAAGCUUCGGAACCGGUAAAUGGCACCUGGGCUCCAGUGCACUUACUUGUGCCAAAACCCUGGGCGAAUUGUCUAUGGGACUGGGUUAUCCACCGGCAGGUAUGGGAAGUUAAACCACCCCAUGAACCUAGCCAUUUUAUCACCACUCCCUAUGAUUUCGCUGCUCAACAUAUCUGGGUGGGUAUCGGAACCUUGUGGUCAUUAUGGCCCUUGGAACCCCCACAGCUAUUUUGCCUCCGCAAAUUGCAUCCUGGGGAAAUGAUCAAUAUAUUGGACAUGACCUGUUGGGAAGGAGAAGCAAUUAAAAGGGACCCAGAGGGAAAAUUAUUGUUUAGCAAAAAGAAUGGGUGUGCCCUGCCAUCUCAGCCCCAAAUCCCCAUUCCAUACAGUCUUAACUUAACCACUGCACAAGGCAGCCGUUUAUUACCUGGCCUGGUAUGCCCCAAAUCUAUGUGUCCCUCAACCCAGCCAUCCCUCUUACUAAAGAAUUGGCUCAGCUUGUACCCAGCCUUUCCACUUCUAUAGUUGUAAAAAUUUUGCUUGGUAUUAUUUUAGCUGCUUAUUGUAAAUUGUUAAUUGCCUUAUUGUGCUGCUUAUGUAAAGUUUGUCUCAUAUCCCAGCCCCAGCCACAACCACCCCUCAGGGCCCUGUUCUUUUCCACUGAUGUUAAUAAUCUUUCAGACCCAACUGUUAACCACCUUAGUAUAAACUUGUGUGCUAAGUAUUGCCCAAUGACCUCCAUUCUAAAUAAAAAUAGUAAUGCCUACCUGAAGACCCUGAAACAUCUUCCCUAGAAAUCUGCCAUACUGAGGACUUUCGUGGGUAAUGGGGUAGGCCUAAAAGCCUGAACCAAAA